rnacentral:rRNA from 1 species
GGAGGGAUCAUUACCGAGUUUACAACUCCCAAACCCCUGUGAACAUACCUUUAAUGUUGCCUCGGCGGAUCAGCCCGCGCCCCGUAAAACGGGACGGCCCGCCAGAGGACCCAAACUCUAAUGUUUCUUAUUGUAACUUCUGAGUAAAACAAACAAAUAAAUCAAAACUUUCAACAACGGAUCUCUUGGUUCUGGCAUCGAUGAAGAACGCAGCAAAAUGCGAUAAGUAAUGUGAAUUGCAGAAUUCAGUGAAUCAUCGAAUCUUUGAACGCACAUUGCGCCCGCUGGUAUUCCGGCGGGCAUGCCUGUUCGAGCGUCAUUUCAACCCUCAAGCCCCCGGGUUUGGUGUUGGGGAUCGGCUCUGCCCUUCUGGGCGGUGCCGCCCCCGAAAUACAUUGGCGGUCUCGCUGCAGCCUCCAUUGCGUAGUAGCUAACACCUCGCAACUGGAACGCGGCGCGGCCAUGCCGUAAAACCCCAACUUCUGAAUGUUGACCUCGGAUCAGGUAGGAAUACCCGCUGAACUUAAGCAUAUC